rnacentral:rRNA from 1 species
GACGAACGCUGGCGGCGUGCUUAACACAUGCAAGUCGAACGGAAAGGCCCUGCUUUUGUGGGGUGCUCGAGUGGCGAACGGGUGAGUAACACGUGAGUAACCUGCCCUUGACUUUGGGAUAACUUCAGGAAACUGGGGCUAAUACCGGAUAGGAGCUCCUGCUGCAUGGUGGGGGUUGGAAAGUUUCGGCGGUUGGGGAUGGACUCGCGGCUUAUCAGCUUGGUGGUGGGGUAGUGGCUUACCAAGGCUUUGACGGGUAGCCGGCCUGAGAGGGUGACCGGCCACAUUGGGACUGAGAUACGGCCCAGACUCCUACGGGAGGCAGCAGUGGGAAAUAUUGCACAAUGGGCGGAAGCCUGAUGCAGCAACGCCGCGUGCGGGAUGACGGCCUUCGGGUUGUAAACCGCUUUCGCCUGUGACGAAGCGUGAGUGACGGUAAUGGGUAAAGAAGCACCGGCUAACUACGUG